ACGAGAUCCGACAGUUUUAUAAAUAGCAGUUUCCCCUGGGCCUUUUUCUCUCUCCCGCCACCUUGUGAAGAAGAUGCUUUCCUUUCUAGCACGAUUGGAAGUUUCCUGAGACCUCCCCAGCCAUGUGGAACUCAAAGCCCAGAAUCUUCCCUGGAGAAGAGUGCUGAUGACGAGGAUUCAUGUCUCCCAACCUAGCACACGGGAAUGAUGUCGCACAGCCUGUUUUUCAUUAUGAUUGUUGCACUUGUUAGGACCACCGAAGUGGGUCACCAGAGAUGCAAUCCACGCCUCAGCUGAUCUGGGCAGACUUAGAGUAACAUGG